rnacentral:rRNA from 1 species
CAGAGGGGGCAAGCGUUGUUCGGAAUUACUGGGCGUAAAGGGCGCGUAGGCGGCCUGCUAAGUCGAACGUGAAAUCCCCGGGCUCAACCCGGGAACUGCGUUCGAGACUGGUGGGCUUGAAUUCGGGAGAGGGAUGCGGAAUUCCAGGUGUAGCGGUGAAAUGCGUAGAUAUCUGGGAGGAACACCGGUGGCGAAGGCGGCAUCCUGGACCGACAUUGACGCUGAGGCGCGAAAGCCAGGGGAGCAAACCGGGAUUAGAUACCCCGGUAGUCCUGGCCCUAAACGAUGAAUGCUUGGUGUGGCGGGUAUCGAUCCCUGCUGUGCCGAAGCUAACGCAUUAAGCAUUCCGCCUGGGGAGUACGGUCGCAAGGCUG